rnacentral:rRNA from 1 species
UACGUAGGGGGCAAGCGUUGUCCGGAAUCAUUGGGCGUAAGCGCGUGUAGGCGGCUCGAUAAGUCCGCUCUGAAAGUCCAGGGCUCAACCCUGGGAUGCGGGUGGAUACUGUCGGGCUCGAGUACGGGAGAGGCGAGUGGAAUUCCUGGUGUAGCGGUGAAAUGCGCAGAUAUCAGGAGGAACACCGGUGGCGAAGGCGGUUGCCUGGGGCUUUGCUGACGCUGAUGCGCGAAAGCGUGGGGAGCGAUCCGG